UAAACUGCCCUUUUUAGGGCAACCCAACCCAUUUUAAAAAGAGAUUG
rfam:Ciona savignyi cont_19682, whole genome shotgun sequence.